AGUUUAGCCUGCCCGGUGAAGAUAUUUUAACGGCCGCAGUACUUUGACUGUGCUAAGGUAGCAAAAUAAAUUGGCUUCUAAUUAAAGUCGAGUAUGAAUGGCAUCAUGGGUGAAAGCUGUCUUAUUCAAUUACAUCUUAACUUAAUAAUUAGGUGAAAAUGCCUACUUAUAAAUAUUAGACGAGAAGACCCUCAGAGUUUUUUAAUAAAGCAUCUAACAAAUUAGAUAUCCUUUUUUGUUGGGGCGACAAAGUAGCAUAUAAAGCAUACUUAAUAAAUCCAGUACAAGUCUAGGUAUAUGUAUGAAUAUAACUACCUAAGGGAUAACAGCAUAAUUUUAUUAUUAAGAUUGUGACCUCGAUGUUGGACUAGGGACUUAAUGUAUUAGCCAUAGA
rnacentral:rRNA from 1 species